AAAUGUUAUAUUUUGGAGGAUAAACGGAUUCAGAGGAUGGCAGUUUAACAGCUAUGGCGGAAGGUAAUCCCCCAACAGCAGGAAAGGAUCUGGACUUAAACAAUGAGCUUCCAGUCACAGCGUCAAACGAAAGUCAAGUUACUUCAAGUGAGACAAGACUUGGUGUAUACGAUGACCUUUUAAGAG